AUUGAACGCUGGCGGAAUGCUUUACACAUGCAAGUCGAACGGCAGCACGGGGCAACCUGGUGGCGAGUGGCGAACGGGUGAGUAAUACAUCGGAACGUGCCCAAUCGUGGGGGAUAACGUAGCGAAAGUUACGCUAAUACCGCAUACGAUCUACGGAUGAAAGCGGGGGAUCGCAAGACCUCGCGCGAAUGGAGCGGCCGAUGUCAGAUUAGGUAGUUGGUGGGGUAAAGGCUCACCAAGCCAACGAUCUGUAGUUGGUCUGAGAGGACGACCAGCCACACUGGAACUGAGACACGGUCCAGACUCCUACGGGAGGCAGCAGUGGGGAAUUUUGGACAAUGGGCGCAAGCCUGAUCCAGCCAUUCCGCGUGCAGGAUGAAGGCCUC
rnacentral:rRNA from 1 species